rnacentral:rRNA from 1 species
GACGAACGCUGGCGGCGUGCUUAACACAUGCAAGUCGAACGGAAAGGCCUGCUUUCCCUUGUGGAUUGCGGGUACUCGAGUGGCGAACGGGUGAGUAACACGUGAGUGAUCUGCCCCCAACUUGGGUAUAAGCCUGGGAAACUGGGUCUAAUUCCCGAUAGGACUGCAGGGUGGUGCCUGUGGUGGAAAACGAUUUUCUAGUGGUUGGGGAUGAGCUCGCGGCCUAUCAGCUUGUUGGUGGGGUAAUGGCCUACCCAGGCGGCGACGGGUAGCCGGCCUGAGAGGGUGGACGGCCACAUUGGGACUGAGAUACGGCCCAGACUCCUACGGGAGGCAGCAGUGGGGAAUAUUGCACAAUGGGCGGAAGCCUGAUGCAGCGACGCCGCGUGGGGGAUGACGGCCUUCGGGUUGUAAACUCCUUUCGACCGCGAGGAAGCCACCUGGUUGGAAGGGUGGUGACGGUAGUGGUAGAAGAAGCACCGGCUAACUACGUG